rnacentral:lncRNA from 1 species
ACGAUUUUUCAUGUUCAUUUAAGUGUCAAUUUAACAGGCUCGGCGGCCGAGUUUUUGAACAAGGCCUAAUGGUAAUCUUUUGGAGUUGUAUCUACAUUGGUUUUGGAUUUGAUUCUUUCUAAGAGCUAAAUUAUUAUUUCUUGUCUAAUUUGCGUUCGGGGUUGGCCCAAACAGUUAACAUAGUAAGCCGUAAUAGACUAUCGAUCCACUCUUAGACAUUAGUUAGAAAGAUUUCAAAUUCGGGUCAUGCAAUCUGAUAACCAAUCUACAAUGUAUAUUUUUUCAAAGGAUGGCUGCUUCCAAGUCCACCUCCUGGUUGUCGUCGCUUCAAAGACCUCGAGUCAACACGCUACUCUGGACUGUGUUAUUCUCCAAAGCUAACCACAUCAGCAGAUAAAGUAAAUUUAGAAAAAGUUGGGCUACUCCUUCACUGACUAACAUAGUAUGGGCUAUAAUUGACUCAAGGCCAUCACAAACUAUAUGGGCGAGGAAUCAAAAGCCUCUUUAAUCAAGAUUCCAUAAUAUCUUCUGAAUAUAUUGGAAAAAAUUUAAAGGUAUGGUUUACUUUUGGACUAGCCGUAGAUGUCAUUAGAUAAUGAUUUUUUUCUGGCUGAAAUUACAAACGGCCGAAAGAAAAGGAGCCAUUCCGCGCGCAUCGACCACCACCGUUAGAUUUACUAAAAGAGCUAACAACAAACGGCCAUGAUCGCCAUAUAUGAUCUUUAAUACAGAUUUUUUUUUAGAGUUCUUAACAGAAACCAAGGGUGUGAGAAUGAUUGGUUCUCCAUUGUUAGAUCAUGGUCGAUCUUAAACGAGCAAUCUUGCCACCUAUUUUCUCUUUAGCUAUAUCCGCUCCUCCGUAGAUAUAAAUUUUCUAUAAAUAUGUUUAUAUAUAGUCACAGUAAUGAAUAAAAAAUCCAUACUUUGUUUUUCUUUGGCAGAGGAGGUAGAGAAGAAGGAGAGAGAAGUUGGCACCUCGUCUCUCUCUUUCUUUCUCUUCUCCGUGAAUCAUCAUCAUCAUC